AACCAACAACUAUCUAGCUAGCUAGUUGAACCCAGCUACUUGGGUAAAAAGACUAUAUUGCCCCUAACUUUCGAGUAAUAAAGGACAUGGAAGGAUAUUAUGGUCAAUUAUUCUUAACAACCAACAAUUAGCUGGUGGAGCUAUAAAAAUUCAUUAGCUAGCUAAAUUUUAGCUGGAUGGAUCCAAACAGGAUCAUAUUAAUUUAAGAAGGAAGGAUGGGACAUACUCUUUCUGUUCAAAAUUGUAUGGGAUUUUGGAUUUUUUUUAAGAUACAUAUGUAUCUAAACAUAACGUGUGUCUAGAUACGUAUUUGGAAAAGCCAAAACCCCUUGCAAAAUUUGGAACGAAGGGGUACAAAUCAAGUUCACGUUUUGUGUCAAUAAAUACAGUACCGCUCUCGAUUGAAUCCAGUUGAGAAACCACUCGGAUCACAAUAGCGUGAGUAACUUAGGACGGCCUCUGUCGAACAGCGGCAUGGCCACCGAGCUCGCGCGGCGCACCAUCAUUUUUGUGCCAUUCCCAGGGCAAGGCCACGUCAUCCCGAUGCUGCGCCUGGCGCGCAUCCUCGUGGACCGCGGGGACAUCUCGGCCACCGUCGCCGUGCCUGACUUCAUCCACCGCCACAUGGGCCAGCACUCUGUCCCGGGGGUGGCCUUUGUCUCCAUACCCAGCGGCGUCCAGGACGACGGCGAUCAGCCCCCGGGACCUCCGAGCUUCCUGCAUUCCUUGGAGCACUACAUGCCGGCCCAACUGGAGGCCAUGCUGAUGGCGCCGCACGGCACAGGGGCCGGCCGCGUCUCGUGCCUGGUUAUCGACCUCCUGGCGUCGUGGGCGAUACCGGUGGCCGCGCGGUGCGGCCUGCCGGUUGUUGGGUUUUGGCCGGCGAUGCUGGCAAGCUAUCGCACCGUGGCGGCAAUCCCGGAGCUUAUGGACAAGGGUCUCAUUUCUGAAUCGGGUAUGCCUUCAGUUCAUAUUGCGCGAUGAUGUAAUUCUUUUUAUGUCCCUUCUGUUCCCAUGAAUAUUUGCCUCGUGCACCUCUCUUCAGGCAUCCAUCCUGAUUCCCUUUGUUAAAACAGUAUGUCAGCGCGCAGUCAGCCUGAAUUUAGAGUUCUGUACAUAAAAAACGCUACCUACAUUCUGGUAUGGAUAAACAAACCUUUUUUGCUUUAUUCAGUAGAUCAAAAAUACCAAAAGUCCAUGCCACUUCUUGUCUUGGGAUAUAUAUAUCUUUAUAUAUAUGUAUAAUGGUAUUUGACGACGGUGAUGUUGGGUUUUAACUGCCUCAGCCUAUGUAUAGUUUUCUGUAUUUUCAUAUAUGCUAACAGAUUUUCCUUGCAAACAGAUUUCAAUUGCAACAAAGACCAGAACAUUGCAGAUCUCGACAUAUUGCCGGCAAAGUUAAACCUUAGAUUCCAAGAUCUUCCAUGGCUCAUCAGCAAUAGCGCAGUAUCCCAGAAAUCAAGACUAGCCUUCUGGUUACAGAUAGCGAAUCGUGCGAAAAGCCUCAGCUACAUCCUUGUCAACUCUAUCCCCAGUGAAGGUGGCGACUCUGACAAGUAUGAUCCACCACAGGGUCAGGAAAUCCUCCCCAUCGGGCCGGUAUUACUCAAUGACGACUCGACGAAGGCUACUGCAGUGUGGCAGACUGACCAGACUUGCAUUGACUGGUUAGACCAGCACAGUGUUGGUUCGGUGAUCUACGUUUCAUUCGGAAGCUGGGCUGCACCUAUGGAACCUGAGAAAAUAAGUGGAUUCGCACAUGGUUUGGAGGCCUCUGGCCAACCAUUCUUGUGGGCUCUCAAGAACCACCCAUCAUGGAGAGCAGGCCUCCCUGACGGGUACAUGGAGAAGGUAGCCGGCCGUGGCAAGAUUGUCUCGUGGGCACCGCAGGAUGACAUUCUGAAGCACGAGGCAGUGGGGUGCUAUAUCACGCACUGUGGCUGGAACUCGGCAUUGGAAGCUGUACGGCAUGGGGUUCGCAUGAUAUGCUACCCGAUCAAUUCAGACCAUUUCGUCAACUGUGCAUACAUGGUUAACAUGUUGGAGAUUGGAAUUCUGCUGGUUAGCAGUGACAGCAGCGAUGUGAAAGAUUGCAUUGAAAGAGUCAUAAAAGGCAAUGAAGGAAGGCAUUUACAGCAAAUGGUCAAUAAAAUGAGAGAAACAAUCACGGUUGGUGAGGCAAUGUGUGUUGCCAAGAGGAAUCUCAGCCUAUUCAUGGAGAGAAUGAAGAACAACUAGCUAAAUGAAGACAUCAAAAGAGGACAAGUAACACCGGAAAACAAAUAAAAUGAGGGUCCAUGUGUCCCAAGGUUUUUUUUUUAUUUCGGAGUCUAUUUUGAUUUUAAGUUGGUAAUGAUUCCCCUAUGUAUAUGUAUUGUUUUGCUUCCCAUGCAAUACAUCUGUCCCCAAUAACAGACUCUUAAUGUUGUGGCACCUUUUAUAACCUCUGAUGAAUGGUCAAUAAGUUUCAUUAGUUAUCUUUCCACUUAGUUGUGCUAUUUAUUUUAUUCCUCUUGAGAGGAACCACAUUUUGCAUGAUGAUUUGGAGAAAACCAAUAAUAUCAUGAAAUUUGGAUUCAGCCGAUCUAGUCAAAAAUAUAAUUUUUUUUUUGGCAGUGCCAUGGUUGAAUUUGCGGUAAUAUGUGCAUUUUACCUUGUUAUGAAAGAACGGGAAUAGAUGCGGUAAAAUGGUCAAAAGGAUCAUAUUGUGCUUACUUAUUUUUUGUCGGUUACCGUAUCUCCUACCUUAAGAAAUUAAAUGGCACCGAUACAUCUUGAUUCAUAGUUUUCAUAAUAUAGAUAAAUCUAUAUAAGAUAAUGCCAUAUAUGGUGAGUGGAGGGGACUGAAAAGCAAGAAGACACAGCAAUGAAACCUAUAGUAAUUGCGUCGCAGUAAGAAUCUCAAUCUACGGAGACGUCCUCAUCACUUGCACGUCGCGACGAGGAUCCUCCUGGGCGGCAAUGACGGCCGCUGCGCUUGGAGCAUGGGGAGGCGAGGUUAUCGAGGAUGAGGAUGUCGUCGCCUCUGCACCACUGGAACUGAAAACCUCUCCUCCUCGAUGAUCUCUCCGAUCCGCUGAAAAAGAUUGUCGGGAUCUCUUGCCACCAUCUACCGCCGUGGCAGCUCACCUCCUUCCCGUGCAUCCCAACCACCGUGUUGAACCACAUCCUCCGGCCCCUGCGGCCUGGGAAAACUCGUGUCAGCAUGUGUGGUCCCAGCUAGGAUCGUCUUGAGCCUUGACGCUGCCGUCCCGGAGCCACUCCAGGUCCAUGCCUAGCGAUUUGGCUCUGCACGACAAAUGCAUCUUGAUUCAUCUCUUUGUUUCUUAAGGUAGGUUUCUGCUUUUUUGCUCCUUGUGCAAGUGACCUACCUUUUGUAGGAGAAACGUGUUGUUAACUGGGAAAUAUGUCGAUGUUCACUGACCAGAGAUGGUAGCCAAUAGCAGCGUCACAGUACGGAGAGACAAGUCCUUAAAAUAAUCAUGAAUCAAAAUCCAUGAACUUAUGCGAGGGAUUAUUGUUGAGUUGUCUUGAGGACCAAUUUCUUGUUGCUUACGUGCUUAAGCAAAUUAUUUGUCAACAUCGGACUCUUCUUCUUGCCCUUUGCUUUGUUUAGGUGGCAUUCUAGGGAACAAUGCCAGCAUAAACAUACCUAAGAUUUUCCCAAGUGGCAUAGAGACUUAGAGAGUGUGAUUGAAAAAACAGGCAUCAAGUCGACGUGUUUGAUAUCUCUUCUCUGCCUCUGCCUUAUCCAAGGUACGGAAUGCGUCCUCCCACCCUCGCCCCCUCAUGGACUUGUUGUCAUUCUUGGUCAGCGCCGUCAGCGCGUACCGGAGCCCCUUGGCGUCCAGCACCUCCACCAUCUCCGGGAACUCCUCCAUCGCCCGCUCCGUCACCCGGAAGCUCCGCACGAACGGCGUCUCCCCGCCCUCCGGGAUCUUUGUCUGCCGUCGAGGGGGUCAGGACCAGCGGCAUUUGCUCGCCGUCUAUGGCCUUCUGUCCCUCGCAUUCCCUGGGCUGCGACGACUGUGAGUUGCCCUCCGUGACGAGCGCGUUGUUGAUGGAUACCUUCGCUUGCAGCCACUCCCUGUUUGCAUUCAGGGCCGCCAUGAGAGCCUCAUAGUCGUCGUUGCUUCCACUUUCUUUUAAAGGCGCGCCAUCUUUCAUGUUUUGAUCCUUGCAUUCAUCUGCGAUGAACUGAUCAUCUUUUGAAGUGCCCUCCAUGGUGGUCUCUUGUUACCUUAUUCCUGUGCUGUGUAACUGGUUUUUUUCUUCUAGGCUCUGAUUGAUAUAAAAGGGUUAACUAGGUAGCUUUGGUUUACCCUGUAAUUGAAACACGAUGGAAGAACAACGCCACUAUUUAUAGGCAGGAGAUUCAGGCAGGGCAGCUAUUCUAGUACAUUUAGCUGGUUUCUGGAGCUCAGAAAGUGACAUAAUUUGAAGUGGUCCCUGUAAAAGGAAGAUUGCUAGAUGGGGGAGAUAACAAGGGUAGUUUUGUAUAGGAUGCAUCGCCAUCAGCGAUGGGGGAGAUAACAAGGCGCUUGUAUUUGCCAAUUGUUGUAUGGACGGUCAAUUUUGAGUACACAAUAGCAACAGUCCUAAGAUGACUUCGAUGGCAUAUACCUGUCGUUCCAACUUUAAUUUGUGAUGGUUUUUUGACUUUUUGGUGGGUUGUCGCCUUGAGGCUAAGACACCCAUCGUCUAACAGUAUGGAAAUAUUUACAGAAAAAACGAGUACAAAAUAAAUUUUAAGAUGAGAACAAUUACAAUGCUACUCCACUGUUUUUUAUAAGAAAUUUGAAUGUUUCUGCUAGGGGUUUGUGCUGAAAAUAGAUAAUAAUAUAUUGUACUCCCUCCACCUUGAAAUACAAGGGAUUUUGAGUUUUUCCUAAGUCAAACUAUUCUAUAUUUGAAAACUUUUACAGAAAAGAACAACAAUGUUUUAAUGAUAUCAAAUGAGCAUAAGUAGAUCCAUUAUAAAAUAAACUCUAAUAAUUUAUUUCUUUGAUGGAGUGGAUAUUAAUACUCUCCUCUAUAAAUUUGAUCAAAUUUAAAAUUGUUUGGCUUAGGAUAAUCAUAGAAUCAUAAUUAAAAGGGCAUCAUAGUAAUUUCUCACUAUUUUUUACUUGGUUCCACCAAAUUGGUAUUUCUUGGUACUUCUCUUUUGGUACUUCAUAGUACUUCUUUUAUUUCUACCAUUCAAUUUUGCCGGAUGGACGGCUCUCAUUUUUUUCAAACACUCUAAAAUUUCUCAUAUAUUUUAGAUGAAGGGAGUACAUGCUUCAAACAUAAUGCCGUUGGAUAGUCCAAAACAAAGGUUCCUGGGAAGACUCCAGAAUGCUUCCUGAAGAUAGUAUUUAGUUAGAGAUUAGUUAUUCAAUACGCUCUUUGCAUACAAAAAUCAGGUUGUGCAUACUACAUCAACCAUCAUGAGUAAAUACGUCCAAAUGCUUCUCGGGAAAGCCAUGUGGUUGGAAAUCACAUGGGCACACAAUUGUUGAAAACAAAAGUAGAAAGAAUUGGAGGAAGAUCGCUCACGGGUAUGGCUGGACGGCUUGACCACACCUCAAUGGCCUGCGCACUACUCAUUUCUUUUUCUUUUGUUUCCAAGUUAACUCAGAACGACGUCUCUGUCUCUGACACAAUUUCGGAGUUAACGAACUAAUCAGUAAUCUCAUAAAAAGAAUGGACAGGUGCAAUAAGAACUCCACUUCCAAAAAGGAAUUGAUCCUCGUACCUUUGGUGAUGAUAGAACUAGUAACGGCAGUUGAUGCAACCUCUAUCAGUCCAUGGCUGGUGGGAUCCAAGUUUCCUUCUAGGUGCCUCGUACAGUUGUUACUACAAGAUUAUAAACUGCACCAUAUAAAUCAUUUUAUAUAAGAAAUAAAGGUACACGCUAAAAAAUAUUUUUUCUGUAGUCCUGAAUGUUUUAUUGGAAAUAUAUAAUUGCAUAUAUAAUUUGCAGUCUGCCUAGUAAGUUCCGACAACAGCAUCCUCCGAGCUCACACUGCUACUUCUCCGCCUGUUGCCAGUCGGCACGUCAUUAUUGAGUCUAUACGCCAGCUUUUUUGUAUAUUUCCUAUUGUUACUACCCAUGGCAUAAAAAGUUUAACUUUUUACCAAAGUGUGGUGAAGCCAAUAAAUAUAGGGAGAACGGAAUAUCCACAAGGAUAGUAAGGGAAGAAAUGAUGAGCGCAAAAGGAAAUAGUAUACAUGGUGGUGAGGAGAAUGUGUAGGGGUAAUGUUUUUGUUAGUUUAAGAAGAUUUCUCUAUUUUUUAUGAACAUAGUGCAAGUAGACAGGAACCACACUAACACUAGCAUGUCCAGCUCCAAAAUAGUCCCGCAUACUUAUACCACCUCUCUUAUACUUUCGUUCUCAUUUCGUAUAAAAAGGUUAUUAACCUAAGUUGGUCCUCACCCUUUAUACUUCCAAGGUGGUACUAAAUGUCUAAACCCACUAACUACAACCACAGUUAGGUCACAUGGGCCAACAAUUUCAACUACUAUGGUACACCCUUUCUAGUCGCUACUCCUUAUCAGUGCCAGGUAAUGGCACUCCCCGAUUAAUCGUGAUUAGUCAGACGACCGGAUAAGAUUGGGUUAGGGUUUCUCCAAGUGCCGGUGCAUGAGCCAACGUAGAGCUGAUGAAUCGAAUCAUCAUUAUGGAGGAGGGCAAUUCGUAGAAGAGAGAAAUUAAAGAAGACUCAUGUUUUUUAUCCGAUUCGUACUGAAUAAAGAAAGGAAGAAAGAAGUAUGUUGCUCUGGUUUGAGGAGAAACGAGGUGCACAAGUAAGAAGGGAAGUAAGUUUUAUGCUGUGGUCUCCACUUGCGUGGAGCUGAUCAUGAGUCGAUUUACUACUACUGAUGCCAGAGCUUAGCUAGGAGUAUGGAUGGCUAGCUAAAAACUAGCGCAAUAAAGCAUGUAGAGGGUAUAUUUGGACGAGAGAAUCGUUGAUUGAAUUUUUGUCCCUAGCUACCAUCAAAUUAAAGUAUUCAUAGGCCCUUGAUUUGGCACGCACCACAAAUUUUCACUGUGUCUUGAUCUCUCUGAUUGCGAGUGAAUGAUUGCUUCAUUGAUGUUCAACACACCCGUUCCUUUAAUUCAGCGAUCAUCGCCAAAUGUGCGAAUAAGCAAAGGCCACGGGUGUAACCACCGCCGCGUACCUUCCAUCAAGUUCAGGCACUCUCUCUCUCUCUCUCUCUCUCUCUCUCUCUCUCUCUCUCUCAUAUGCACACAGCCAUGUCUAGAGCCUUCCUGCCCACCGUCCUCAUCGGCCUGAUCGCCGUGCUCAGCAGCAGCACGGCGUCGGCGGACACGCCGGACUGCCCGUACCCAUGCCUGCCGCCGCCAACCUCCGGAGGAGCCAUUAACAGCUACCCGCCACCGCAACCGUCAACAGGAGCCGGCGGCGGCUUCGGCGGCAGCUACCCGCCGCCUCCGCCGGGAAGCUACCAGCUGACACCUCCGGGGGUGAUGCCCGGUUUCUCCCCACCGUACGGUGGGUUCCCGUCUGGGCCGACCCCGCCGCCGCCGAACCCGGUCCUGCCGUGGUUCCCGUGGUACUACCAGCACACCAACCCGAUCACGGCGACGACUUCGUCGGCGUCCUCCCCGGCCAUGGAUGGGAGGUCGAGGAUCACGGUCGGGGUUCUGCUCCCUCUGUCCUUGCUCGUUCUUCUGCUUCCUCUGUUGUAGAGAGUGUGUCGGUAGGCCAGUCGAUUGCCAUAAUAUAGUUAAGGUUGUUUAUUUUGUUAUUUUAUAAUUUGUUCAAAUGCUUGUGUUAUAUAUAGAGAACAACUUAUUUUGUGAAGUAUAUUUGUUUGAUUUUAGUCUAAUUUAAACAUUCAUAUUGUUGGCCUGUUCAGACUUCGGAGUACAACACGUUAUUUCUUUUUAAAAUCAAAAUUUUUAGAAAACAAAUUAUAACUUACAGUUCAUUUUGCCAAAUAAAAUAGACACAUAAAAUAGGGCAAUUUUGUUUUUGUAUAAUUAAUUCAGUUUGGUGUGCUCAAUUUCGUCCCUUAAUUGCUAAGCAAACAAGCAUUGACAGAGAGAGGCAUUCUUAGCUUCCUGAUGAUCACCUUUUCAGCUGUCUUGCAUAGCGGGAUUACUUACUGAGGCAGCAGGUUAUCUUUGAUCCAUUUCGUUUGUUGAGACGUCCAAAUCAAGCCAUUUAAGUCACUAGGAACGCAUCAACUGCAUAAUUCAUGUCUGGACCCACAGUUUCCCGUUUUGCGCGGUGCCUGUCUUUGUUGGCUGAAGUUUCUGGAACAAACACAUCUGGUUUAAUUUUGUGGAUAAUUCAAAUAACCUCAUGUUUGAGUAUCUACAUAUUUUGUGAAGGUGUAAGCAGCAUCACCUCCAUGAAAGUGGGCGAAACCGCUAAUAAUUAGACAUUGUUUAUAUAUAUGCCUCCUCCAUGAAAGUGAGUAAACGGGAGUAAAAAAAAUGCUGCAUAAUUGAAGAAAAUGCAUCUGUCAAAUAUCAUCUAUAUUUAGAGAAUCGUGUAGAGCACGUUGCCCGAUCUAGACGUUGCUUGUCACUACGUCAGGGAAACGCCACGCCGGUAGUGCGGCACCCCCCUCCGGAGGGUACAGCUAAUCGCCACGCGAAUCGGUGGCCAUCGUAGUGUCGUCCAGCCUCCCUGCAUCUGUUCAGUUUUCCCUCAACCUAAACGCACGAUGAACUUUUUCAUUGUUGUUAACCUUUUUUCACAGUAUUUACAAAAUAAACCUCAUGAUGUCUUGUUUCGAAAGAACAGAAUAUGUUAUUGGGGAUUUUGUACUCCCAACAAUCCCCCGUGUUGAAUAUAGAACUAGGCACAAGCUGCAAUGAUAUACGGCUAACUGCUAUAUGUAUAUAUUUUUAAUCAAGGAAUUUAUUAUUCUAGCCUCUGCAUGAGUGGUGCACUCAACUAUCCAUUAUUACAAUUCUCAACCACUAAAAAGUUGCUAACAAAAAGCAGAAAAGCAUAAAACAAACUCAUGAUGCCAAGACUAAGCACAAAGCCUAUUAGUAGACAUCCAACCGUGGUUUGCGAAGAUCUCCAUAACCUAUUAGUAGACAUCCAUCUCUAUAUGUAUACGGGUUAUAUUAGACCUGAUCAUUUGUCGGGUUGGGUUGGGUUCUUUCAGGCUUCGAGUAAAAAAAGUUGGCCCGCGCCUGACCCGUGCCGACCAUCAGGUCAGAUUUUUUAGCCCGUGCCCGACCUGUCACAUGGUCGAGUCGGGUUGGGUUAGGUUCGGGUUUUUAUUUGUAAUUUUUAGGUUGGGUUGGAUUUUUUUUGUUUUUGGGUCAAAAAUUUUGGUCUGUGCACGAUCCGUGGUUUAGAUCGGGUCGUAAAUAUCGGCCCGCGCCCACCCAACAUAUUGACCGGGUCGGAUCAGUCAGGUUUUUUCGGGUGGGUCGGGUUGGGUUUGUUGGGUCGGGUGGCCCAUGAUCAGGUCUAGGUUAUAUAUUUCAGGAACGUCCUAAUACAAAUUUAUGAUUGACGAUCCUCUCUACGAAAAAUGGCCUCCUCGGACAGGAGUCUACAUGCAUUCUAUUCAUUUCACCUUUUUCCUGUUAUUCCACGUCUCCCUAAGUUUGAAUCUUAGUCUUUCUAAUUUUUUAUUCUUCUUUUUUUCUUUCUUAUUGGGCAUGUGUUCCUCAGUUUUGAGACUUAGUCUAAAAACAAUUGUCACUCUUGGCUAUGUAUAUCCACAGUAAUAGAGGCAAGAUUCAUGUCCAUUAUCUAAAAAAAAUUCAACAUUCUCCUCUCCUCUUUCUUCAUCUCAUCUUCUCUCUUCUCUGCCCCCCAUUUAUAUUCAAGCUAGCCUUGGCUCUCACUGUAUUAUGUUAGAGAAAGAACACAUUUGCUCCAGUAUAGGUCAGAUUAUAUUCAUGAAUUUUAAUGCAUAGAAGAAGAGGAUUAUUGAUGACAAAAACUGGCAAGUGAGAGAGCUCACCAAGACAGCCGUGCCGUUUUAUCCCAGGUAGCCCAGCUACUUUUUUUGAAAUUAAUCUUUUCCAUAAAUUUCUAUUUUUAAAGAAUUAUAAUUUCUUCACACAGCUUUUACGUCUAAUUUCUCUAGACAACUUAUGACGACAACUACCUCUCACGUACCUUUUAUGUAUAACUUUUCUAAUUUUGAGCAAAAAAUUCACAAUGAUGUCGUUUGAACUUCCUGAGAGAAAAGUUUUAUAUUUAGAAACUUUUUAGAAAAACUUAUACAUAUAAUUCUAUGCCAUUCAACUUCUUCGAGAAAACUUGUUCACAAUAUUUUUUUCCAGAAAAAAAGGUUCAACUAACUUUUGUACAAAAUUUGUUCAGAACAACCCGAGUACCCGACCAAGCAGCGGCCAAGCUGAGGCGUGAUGGCCCAAACUCGGAUUCAUGCUAGAUGAAUAGUAAUGUGUAUUGUAGAUGGCCCAAAAAUUGAAUCUUAGGGGCCGCUUGGAGGGACAGAAUUAUUGGCCUCACAUUUGUUUGAUUGUUCCCCAGAUUGCUCCUCCGAAGAGUAGUUCGGCCCACCUGGCCCUUUUUUUAUUUCCCACGCGACCUAAGUUUGCCACGUAUACGAAUUUAUAAAGUUUUGUUUGAACAAGCCGCAUAGUGCUAAGUUUCUGUUGAUAUAGUAAAAAAUACAAAACUGCAGCCCCUAAGAGACCAUACUCUAUAAAAAAAAGAAGACUAAAAAAUCACUAAACUCAGACAGUUGAAUUGGGACAUCAACGCAACCAUACCACUCCACUCAAGCAACAAACUUCGGGUGGUUGGAUUGUGGGAUCAACAACUCACGCCACAUAACGUAUUGUGCCACUCAACUCGCAAUAGCCCGAUUGGAAGAGGCUAGAAGGACGAAAACACCAUGCGCAGAUGACAACAAACACUAGUAGAAACAGUAGCAUCCAUGACGUUUUGCGCGUGAUGUUUUAAAAUUUCGUCAUUGAAUAGACCAUAUCUAUGACGAAAAUCUAAGAUUCGUCAUAGAUCAUAGGCGGCAUACCUCAGCCACUACGAAAUUAUGACGAAAGUAAAAUGAGCGUCAUAGAACAACCGCUCAAAUCGUCACGAAACGGUGCGCUAUCAACACCUCGUAUUGUGACGACCAUGAGUCGUCAUAGCCGAGUACCUCAUGGAGGUGCAUAGCAUACCUUACUUGCACUUGUGUGUUUGUGAAACUAUUAGUUUUAUAUAUUAAAAAAACAAAUAUUUUGGGGCACGUGGAUAAAAAAGUGCGGCACCUAGAACCAAACGUGAAACCUCACGUCCUCCCUCGUCGCUGCCCAACAUCCAAGCGUGGGAUUAAAAAACAAAAUCAACCUAUCACUAAUUUAAAGAACAAUUAAGCAAGUAAAUAUAUAUAUAUAUUAAACUAUGCGCGACAAGCAUAUCCGAUUGAAUUCUAAAUAAAUUUAGGAGCAAAUUCAAUCUACAAUUUCAGAUGGGAGAUGGACACAGACACACAGUCGCGCCGUCGGCGGCAAGGCUCCUGUGACGCGCCUCCACAUAAACGAGGUGUCAACAGCUGGGCUCCCGCAAGGCCGUGAGCCCGUGACGCUCCUCCCUGUGGGCUUGCCGCACCUUCACACCUGAGCACCGUACACAUGAGCGGCUGCUUUGUUAACACCGAACUGGAGACCUUUCAGGCCACAGAGGCAUGCCUUACCACCGAGAUACACAUGCACACCUGCAAAGAUUCGCGUUUCAGUUUAUUACUAUAUGUGUUUAGGACGUUGCUACGUGGCACCUAAUGAUUGCCCGAGGUGCAUUGCCACGGAUGGCGCCCGAGAGAGAUCCACAUGCGACUGGUUGGGUUAAUUUCGUUGCACCACGUGGAUCGAGACGAAGAACAUCUUUUCCUUUUUUAAUCUGAAAUUAAAACUUAUAACAUGUAUUUCUCCCUCAUCAUAACUCCAAAUUUGAUAGUUUUUUCUGAUUUUUUUUCUAAAAUCACGCUCCUUCAUAUAAUGAUGUUUGUUUGAAUGUUAAUUGCUUAUUUUUUAUGUUUUUCAUCUGCCUUGUUUUCUUUAACAUAAGUAGAAAAUAGAAAGACUUUUUUUCAUAACAACUGCAAAUUUAACUUCAUAUUUUCUCAUAUUAAGGAAAAAAUAAAGUUGUGUCCAAAUUUAAGGUGCAUACGAGUUUGAAAAUGUUAUGAGGUAUGCAAACUUUGUUAUGUGAAAGAUGUACUCAUUCGUGAACAAUCUAUAGUCUCUUUUUGUUAAAACCAUCUAAUUUUUUUAUUACAAGAUUAUAGACUUAAAAUAUAUUUCCAUGCCAAUUUGCAGAAUGUUUUGAACAAAUUUAGAUAUUAUUACAAUUAUCCUAUGGUAAUUUGAAGAUUAAUGGUAACAAACAAUUGAAUUCUUCAUAUAUCUUUAUACACCAAAACAUAUGAGUCUAAAUAUAAAUUUUCUAAUUCUUUUUUAAUCUUUAUAGGGCACACGCAGUUCAAUUUUAAGCCUAAAUAAGCAAUAAAAAUAGUUAAUGAUUUGAUUAAAUGGCCCAAACAUUUAGCUUGGGCUAUUUUCUAGUAAGGCCCAACGCAUCUUAACCGUCCAUCUCCAAGUAUCGAUACUUUGAUAAAUGAACCAACACCCAGAAACAUAGCUCUUACGCAUCUUAACCGUCCAUCUCGAACCAACAAUUUGUAUCGAUACUUUGAUGGAUAAAAGGACCAGCACCACUUCUCUUAUGGUGGUACGAAUAAAUCUUUUUAGGCAUUGGCUAGGAUAAAUAAUAACUCUCAACCUGGUUAAAGAACUUGAUCAAGCUUAUUUUUGCAGAUGUUUAGAUAAGCAAUAAAAUUAUAAAUUACCUCCAAUUCAAGCCUUACUCAUAAAGCAUAAUCAAAACUGAAAUAUUUGUUCAUCAUAAAGCAUGGGUAUUGCAUAAACAAAUCAAUUUCUAAAAUCCACAACUAAGAUUUAGAAUUCAAGAUAAUGCUCAUCAUGCAAAGUUGUAAGGAUAAAAUAAAAGACAAGCAACCAAAGGUAGAUAUUAAAAACACUCGCACGAUCCUUGAUUUUAUGCUUCUUCUCACAAAGACGCUAAAGUAGCGAUCUAGGCCUAAGUCUUCCCAGAAGCUUAAGAAGACUACUACUUUAUCUACUUUUGAUUGAAAUAAAAAAACACUAAUUUAGACUCUCACAUGACUCGACUCGACCAAACUAGAUUCAAAAACUCCUUACGAGCAGCGAUCUCCCCCCCUCCCCCCACGCUUAAAUUCUACGACGUCCUCAUCGUAACUGAAUGAAGUACAAAAGGAGAGACUCUCGUAAACGCACUAGUGACGCUGCCUGCACUACUUGCGCAUGGGACGGUUGCUGCUUCCUUCGCCAUUAGCUCUGUUCUUCCUCAUAUUGCCGCACAUCCCGAAGAGCUUCCUCACGUUCCUUUGCAAGAACUUGAAGUCAUCCUCCUAACAGCGAUCAUGAUCUUCUACUCUUUGAUCCAGAGCUUGCAAGGCUUGCAUGAUGUUGUCGACGGUGUCAAAGAAGUAGUGGAUGUUCUUCCUGCAAGUGGUGCAACAUGUAUGAUCAUGCUCCUCCGGUUCUGCCUCGUCGUCCUCUAAAUCCUUCUCUUUGCCCUUGUCUUGACAGCGUUUUUCUUCCUCCUAACUUUUCUUCAUCUCAUCAGCUCAAUCUCAGUAUGUGUUGGCAUCUUCUUCGUCAUUGUGGCCUAUAGCACCCCACGAUCCGGGGCUCCUAUCAUCCUCCCAAUCGCUAUCACCUCCAUAGUUAGCCGGCGAGUACUCGGGCGUCUUCUCCACAUAGCUUUUGCGCUUGAUCCUGAGGAGCCUUGUUGAACGCCUUAUGGGAGCGACGACAGCCUCCUUCUUCUUCUUUGGCGCUUUGUCAUCACUCGAGAGGAUGAUGAACUUGCGAUCGGUGAGCUUUUCAAACGGCGCCUUGCCUCCAACGCUAAUACGAGCGUUAUGAGCUAUCCUUGGUGGAGUUUUGGGACCCAACACGCACCUCUUAACUUCCAUGUGAAGGGCGAAGGCGGCGGCCAAGGGAGAGGGUGGUGCCGAUCGGCCUGGGGAGGUCAGGCCGAUCAGCCUAGCCUCCUCUAGGAUCGGUUACUGCCUCCUCUCGUCCCCCGAGCUCCUGGACCUCGCCAUUGCACUCUUUUUCUAGUUUGGUGGAUCUGAAUUGCUUGUGUAGAUGCAAAACUCAAGCUCCAAUUGACCUCAUUAUAUACUCCUGAAGUAUUGACCAAGGAUCCACACAUUUUCAAAAACUUUCUCGCCCCUUCCUGCACAAAUUCACUUUCAUAUUCUGUCAUUACCAAAGAUGGGAAAGGGGGAACCGAUUCAGAGGUGAAAACCUCCCAGGCCGAGGGUUUUGGCCUCUCUACCCUCUGCUUUUUCGUGUCAGCGCGUACAUCUAAAAAUAUAUCUAAUUUUUUGAGUCCCACACAAAAAUUCGAAAGAAAUAAUAGAAUUUAAGAUAGAGUAAGUACAAGGUACCUGUUUUAGUGUCGUCAGGCUUGACAUGGCCGUUCUUCCUCUAUGGUGUAAACGUUAACAUAAUUAAUAGGCAUGACGUCAUGUUCCAAGAAUACCUUUCGUCGUUGUCCAUUCACAACAUAUUGAUCUUCUUUGACAUCCAUAAUCGUUAUCACUUCGGUAGGUGAUACAGAAUGAACCACGUAUGGUCCGUCCCAUUUGCUCAUCAAUUUUCUUUUACCGAAGAGUUUGAACCUAGAGUUGAACAGUAACACUUUGUCUUUUUCUUUGAAUUAUUUCUUGUGAAGCUUUUUAUUGAACCACCUCUUUAUUCUUUCCUUAUAAAUGCUUGCAUUGUGGUAAGCUUUAAGCCUCGUCUCUUCUAAUUCAUUGAUCUGAAUUCUUAUUUUAACUCUUGCAGCAUCAACAUCAAGAUUCAUCUCCUUUAUAGCCCAAUAAGCUUUAUGUUCCAGUUUAAUGGGAAGGUGGCAUGUUUUUCCAUAGACGAAUUGAUAUGGGGUCAUUCCUAUAGGCAUUUUGUGAGCCGUCCUGUAUGCCCAUAAUGCUCCAUCUAGCUUAUUUGACCAAUCCUUCCCUCCUUUGAUUACCGUCUUCUUCAAGAUAUCUUUUAGCUGUUUAUUAGAAGUUUCUGCUUGUCCAUUUGUUUAAGGAUGAUAGGCUGUAGAUACUUAUGUUCAAUCCCUAAUUUUGAUAGACAUUUGCCAAAAUCUUUUCCUGUGAAAUGUGAUCCUGAUCAUGAUUCUUGUCACUCCGUACCUGGGAAAUAUUAUAGUCUUGGUCAUGUGAAUUGAUUCUCCUGUUGACGCCUUCCGACAAGUAAUAGCUUCUACCCAUUUAGAUACGUAAUCAACCAUGACCAAGGGUGCUCAAAUCCAUAUGAAUUUAAAAAUGGUCCCAUGAAAUAUACCCCAAAUGUCAAAUAAAUCUACUUGCAGAUUGUAGUUCAGCGGCAUAGAAUUUCUAGCUGAAAUAUUUCAUGUUCUUUGGCAUUUCGAGCGAGUAGCAACAAAUCUCUUUGCAUCUUCAUGCAUCUCUAGUCAAUAAAAUCCACUUGCUCAAACUUUUGCUUGAGUUCUAAAAUGUCCAUAAUGUCCUCCGUAUUAUGAUGAAUGAUAUUUUUGAAGUACUGUUCCCUUUCUUCUCUUGGGAUGCAUCUUCUUAAUACUUCAUCUGUUCCAUAUAUAUAUAUAUAUAUAUAGGAUUAUACUAUACAAUACCCUGGGUACGGAAUAAUCUAUUCCGUACCCCGAGCCGAUUGGUGCGGUCAGGCGUGGCCGGUUCACGAACGUGGGUUUUCCGAUUUUUAUAUCAGCUCCUCCGAACGUGGGUCAACAUCCUCCCGUUCCUGUUCCUCCUAGCAGGAACUGCCACAGCUCGCCAUCCCCCGCCGCACGCCAUCGCUCUCCAUCCCCCGCCGCCGCCGCUUGCCACCCCUCCCCGCUGCCGCUCGCCAUCCCCCACCGCCGCCGCUCGCCACCCCUCCCUGCCGCCGCUCGCCAUCCCCCGCCGCCGCCGCUCACCAUCCCUCCCUGCCACCGCUCGCCAUUCCCCACCGCCGCCGCCGCCGCCGCUCGCCAUUCCUCCCCGCCGCCGCUCGCCAUCCCCCGCCGCCGCCGCUCCCAGACCCUAAGCUCGCCGCGCUCCACCGUCGUCGCGCCCUCUGAUCCUCGCAUCACCGCUAGUCGCCAUCCCUCGCCGCCGCCGCCGCUCGGCAUCCCCCGCAUCCGCCGCUCCCCAGCUGCUGGCGGGUAGGGCCUCCACCGCAUUCAGUUGUUAGCACCUCGCCAGCAGGCCGUCAUCUUCAAUUUGGCAUUUCGCAGCUGAUUCCACUGGUCCUCGUCGGUUAGUACUCCGUCGCGUCCUUGUUCUUCUCUUUAAUUAGUUGCUCUUGUGCGUUCCUGUCAUCAUGCAGUGCUGUCGAGUUCCUGCUGGCCGAGCCAUGGCCGAGCCGGGCAUUAGAUUCAACAAUCUGAUUUAAGCUUUUGAUUUCACGCAUCUUCCGUAGGUAACUUUGUUCCGUAGGUAACACAUCAUGAAGUUCUAUGCCAGAACUAAUGCAAGCACAUUGCUAGAAGCAUGUUGCUCAAUGUUCCUAAUCCAGUUUCUUAUAUCUGCCAAUGACCACAGCAAGGUCAGUUGAGGAAGCCAGUUCUUCAAUACUUCCAAGCACCAGUAAGAUUUUACGUUUUCAUUUUAAACUGAACAUUAAAAUGCACAAUCGCAAAUAGGAUGUCAGCAUAUCAUGGACAAGAGACAAUAAAGAAGAACAGAACACACCCGUUUGCUUUCAUCCAUGUCUGCUAUGUUGCCUAUCAAAAUUUUGUUCACAUUGUCAGAAGCAUGUUGCUCAAUGUUCCUAAUCCAGUUUCUUAUAUCUGCCAAUGACCUAUUCAAUGAUACAUUUGAUAAUUAAAUAUGUGACAUCUAGUAAAUAAAAUUACUGAACAAAAACAUUAUUCCGAGUAAAUACACCUGAUCUUAUUCUCUUUCUUCUUGAUUACCUUUCCUUUGCUGCGUUCUUCUUUUGUUUUUUCACUACUUUCACAAAUGUCUGGAACAUCCUUCAAGACAGCUCGUUGCCGAUAAUGAUCCCAGUAUUCUUCAAAAGACAUGUCUUUGCGCUUAGGCAUCGUUGCACACGGAGGCGUGCUCAGAGGAACUACUACUGGCAAUGUUCCCUAUAUAUUACAGAGACAUCCAAUGCCCUUUUAUAUACAAUGAGCACUGGACGAAUCCCGCAAAAACUAUUUAAUCUAGGUCAACCCUUAAGCGGGGUUUAAGGCAUGCUAGGCAUGCAAUGAAUGCGGCUAGCCUCACAAUCUUUUUUUCACUACAAACAACUUCUUCUAUUAAGGCAUGCAUGCACGGAGACAUACCAAGGAUUUUUGUUCCAUCCAUUUCCAGCCUUUCCUUAAUCACCAUGCAUGCACGGUUUCAGAGAUUGCUUUCCAUUGCAUGUGCAUGAAAAAAACUUCCCAUAGUCUCCGUGCUGCAUGGUGCAUAUCCACUGGUGAUCACAGACCAAGCCUUUUGCAAGUUUCUUGAAGGUUCAAUUUAACCUGCGCUGCAUAGAGUUUGGCCGAGGCCUCAAAUCGCCGAUCCGUUUUUUCCUCUUGCAUCCUUAUUUGACUGCUUCUCGUUCACACACACAACAGCUGCACAUAGAAAAAUUCAAGCUGUUUACAAUCGCACUUGGUGGUUGUGAGAGCGUUGAGAAGGACACACAUAUAAUUUUUUUUUCAAGGAUUCGGUUGGAGCUUCCUUUUUUCUACCUUAGUCUGGUUACAUUCAUAAAUCAUCACACACAUACAAACACACCGAAAAAUAAAAACAAAACCUUGUCCGAACCAAACAUACAAACAUUACCUAGCUGAGUAGUUGUCAUGAUGCCCAAACGGAUAACAUUGAAUUAUUUAAAUGUGUAGACAACAAAGACUGGAAUACACUGUUGACAAAAAAUAUUUAAAUUUAUGUACAACGCGUAUCUGGUCCUCACCCUUCCAUAUCCGUGUCCUUAAACUGCUCGUCAUUGCUCUCGUAAUCAAUAUAUUUGUUUUCUUGGCACUUCUUUGUGUCCUGCUGUCGCCCUAUGCUAUGCUCUUCUCCUCCACUAUCAUGCUGGCUGGCACUACUCUUAUGUUGUGCUCCUCGUGGCCUGCCUCUCAUUCUGUUCUUCAAUACUUCCAAGCGCUCUUUGUUAUGCUGGAGUUUGGGACAUGUUCUCGCGUUAUGUGUUGCGUAGUACCCACAAAUACUGCAUCUCCUUGUGCCCUUUUUUACACCUUUGGCUCCCAACAAAAUUUCCUUCUUUUCAGAUGGUGGUAUACUCCGCCCUUUAGUCUUGGCUCUCGUAGGUGGGACUCGGCUGAUCAGUCUAUCAUCAUUGGCAUGAUACUGCAAAGAUUAUUGCACAAACUUUAAAUUCAAUGCAACAAUGGUGAUGGCAUUAAUUAUUUCCAAACUCAUUCUUCUAACCUCGCCACUGUGGGUUGCACAUCCUUCAUGCACUCUUGCAUCUUUAGUUGUCAUGUCUGUUUGGUUGGUUAGCACAACCUCGUUGCACACAAAGUCUCCGCCAAAAGCAUCCUGAAAUACAAUUAACACAUCUCUUUUAAUAUUUCUUGCUGAUAUGCAAGUUAACUUGUGUCUUUCCCGUAUUUAUACUACUUCCAUUACAAAUCAUACCAGAUUUGUUGCAAGAACCAUUUUCCCUUUUAUACUCUCUCUGGCUUCAUUUCCAUCCAUGUUCGCUUGUCGCAAUUCCUGCUUCACAUUGCGUCAUUGUUAUUGUGCAAAUCUUUUUUCCUAGUGUGUUAACUCGCAUACACCUGUAUCAUGAUACAAGCCUACCUGGGUAACCCUUUUCGCCAAUUGUUUAUCAUUUGUGUUGUCACCAUAGCCAUCAACACUUUCACUACAAUCUGAUAACUCCUGCAAAAUCAAACCCAGAUGUAUGCGGUUAAGUGCCUUGCCAUGCAACAUACACUUCAUGCAACAUUUUAGAAUUUUUACCUCUCCAGGUGAUUCUUGGUGCAUGUUUGUUGUGCUUGGCCCGAUGUCAGGGGGUAUUUCUUUGUUAUCUUUGUCAAGCUUUGCCAACACCUCUCUCGUUCUAAUGUGCGCAGCGCGCGACAUGCUCCCAGACCUGACUGCAGCCAUUGCUAGGGACAUUAGAUCUUUGAUUCUGUACAAUUGUGUGACUCCAUCAGCCCCAACUAGGAGCUUGUCAUUCCUGUCGAAUCCCAACUCCUGCUGUGCAUAUUUUGUGUAUCUACGGAGAAUGUAAUGUUGUGGUAUUCUAUUUAGCUGGAUUCUCAAGAAGGCUCUCAACAAGUGCACGCAGAACAAACCUAAACAACCAAGAGAGUAUAUGUACUGUUAAUAAGAAAUUGGGAUGUACGCUAUAAAUAUUGUAACAGUUUUAUCAUGUACCUGUACGCUGCCACUCCUUGCACUCGCAAUGAAACUCGCCAUUUUCUUUGUUUGCACGUACUUUGAACUGGUGCUGCCCCCAAGAUAUUUUAGAAGACCUAUUUGUGUGAGUUACCAGAUAGCAUGUUUCACCCUCUAUUGGAUUGUCUUCUAUAUCGAAAGUCGUGCAAUCGAUCAUCUUUUUUUCAAAGUCUUUGAACACAUUUCUAGUAUAAAUUCUUGAAACAUGUAUUUCAAAUGGCCACUUGCUUCUUGUGAGCCUUUUGCUCUGUCACAGUACAAGCGCAACAGUUAAUUAAGGGAAAUGGUGUUUAUACACGCACUCCAUAAAUAUGAAUUGACACGCUGGUUACAUUACCGUUCCAUGGUACGACUCUUCAGACUCCUUCAUCUUACGUGAAUGCAUGAAGCAAGCAUUUUUUUGGCGAACCUGUGCAAAGCCGUGUGCUUGUCAACAAAAUACUUCUUCAUAACAAAAUUUGAGCUCUCGCUUCUCUGUGUCGAUGCCAUCCGGCCACAAUAUUGGUCUUUGAAAUAUGCCAGCACAUACAGUUCUCGCUGGCAGUAAAGGCUAUCUAAAGUGCUAUCCUUUUGUAGGUCAAACUCAUCCAAUAGUUCCUGCCAAGCGGCCUCAAACUCCACAGGGGUGAGUGGGUGGUUUAGCACAGAAUAAAAUUUGUCCUUGAAAUUUUUCUUCGCAUACAUCCCAAAGAGGUUGGUUAGAUGUGGCAUGUGCUUGUUCUUGGUCUACCACAAGAUGCAAAUUCAUCAUUGUUAGUUCUUUAAUUGCUCUAAAUUAUUGUAUAUGCUCAUGUAUCAAAUAUUUUUAUCAGAAACAUCAAUGAUGAACAUAUUACCUGUGAGGAUACACCUUGUUCUACUUUGUUCCAUGCACUUUUUGAAUGCUUUGAACACCCAUUCAAAAGUUUCAGUUGUUUCAUCUCCUACCAAUGCACAUCCAAACAAUGUAUUCUGCAGAUGGUGGUUUGAUCCAACAAACAUUGCUAGUGGCUUCUCAUAAAUAUUAGUCUUAUGAGUUGUGUCAAAGCUCAUUGCAUCACCAAAAUCUGCAUAAUCGCGCUGCAUGCUUGCAUGACUCCAGAAUAACCUGUGUAUAACUCCUUCAGAGUCCAGCUUGGGUUCCCAUCGGAACUGCGGGUUUUGAGCCUCACAAUCCUUGAAGAAUUCAAUAGGCUUGUUUAUGUCAUCUGCGUGUCCUUCCCGUACAUUAGUGGCCUUCCUGUAAAACAGGUUAAAAAAACUCAACAUUUUAUCCUUCUAAAUUGUAAGUACAUUUCAUUAACGACACCAAUGAUCAUAUACUUUAGCUUGGCAUGAACCUUACUAUUCAGGAAUAACAAACUGUGUGAGGUUCUUUUACCUGUUCUCUAUGUCCCGCGAUGUUAUCGGAACAAGCUCUGCACCCCAUGCAUAUUUUGCAAUACAUUCUUUAUACUUUGCGUACUCACGCCGGCUUCCUGCAAUUCAUCAAUUAUUUGAUAAAGUACUGGUUCCGUGCUCUUGUGUGACCUCAUUUUCUUGGUUUUCAAAGGCGUAUACAACAGGUGGUUGUGAAAUAGGUUUGCCUUUUCUAUAAUCAUAUCUACUUCGUUGCCUUCACUGUCAUACACUCUCGUAAACUUCAGAUGAGCUUUGCACUUCGUCUUCAUUGUUGUCUUGUUCCGUACUCGCAGAGCCUCAUCACCUUUAUAAAAAUCUCCUUUUUCUUCACAGCUACACCUCAUCACUCUAGAGAAUUUUUUCUUGUUGCACAUUUUCACGCCGAACCCGGCCAGUUGUGCAUAUCUCAUGUAGAAUGCCUUUGCUUCAGCUUCCGUGUGGAAUGACAUCCCUUCUCUGGGUAUCAUAUUUGGAUCCAUGCUUUCAUUCUGCUUCAAAUAACAUUAAUUUCAAUUAACAUCAUAUACUAAUGCACCGUCAUAUGAAUCAAUAUUUGCGUAGAAAAUUCAAUUAUCAUCACAGCCUUAAAGAUAUGACAUAAUAUAUAUUUUCACUGACUGCUCUCAUGCAUUUGUGCUUUUUAACUAUGCAUAUCACUGCUUUGUACAAUUCAAACAAAGAUUUAUCAUGCAUCACUUACGUGUGUUUGUGGUGGAAUUUCUUCUUCACUAGCAAUCAUCUGGUUUGCGUUCAAAGUAUCUGGAGGUGAGAACACAAUACCCUGUCUUCCCGUUGUAAUGGUUUGAUCCUCAUUACUCCCUUGCUAGCAACCUAUCUGUGUGGGCGGAGUUCGAAAUCCAGUGCUGGAGCUCUCCAACAUCUCCGGAACUUUGAUGCAGGAGUUAAUAGUGUCUCGUUCUCCCGGCUGGGACGGUUCAGAUCGUGGCAGUGACCUUUCCGGCACUUCUGUAUUUCUCACGUCGACGGCGACUCUCAUGUCGUUCAUCUCCAGCCUUUUCGGUGAAGGGCUAUCCGCAGAGUCCCUACUCGGCGCGGACGGUCCUGCUUCUUCAAACAAUAUCCUCCGACAACUCAUCACUGGCAAGGUGGUCUGAAAGGUAACAACACAAUGCAUAUCCAUUAGAGAACUGUAUUUCGCCGAUUCAGAGUUUGUACAAAUAUUCAAUGACACAACAACCAUCUGGAAAAAAAAAUUGUUUGGAGCUCAAAGCUUGGAAGUUGCACUGUCUAGAGUUCAUUGUCUAAACUGAAUGGCAAUGACCAUUCCCACUCUGAAGACCGUACAUUAAGACAACGAACAUUGGAUAAUACUACCUGCAUACUGUUGCAUACUGAACUUGUACGUUCAAACUGCAACUACAACCUGAUUCAGAGUUUGUACAAAUAUUCAAUGACACAACAACCAUCUGGAAAAAAAAUUGUUUGGAGCUCAAAGCUUGGAAGUUGCACUGUCUAGAGUUCAUUGUCUAAACUGAAUGGCAAUGACCAUUCCCACUCUGAAGACCGUACAUUAAGACAGUGAACAUUGGAUAAUACUACCUGCAUACUGUUGCAUACUGAACUUGUACGUUCAAACUGCAACUACAACCUGAUGCAUGGGCUAUCUCUUUCACUUUCAGUAGUCUGAACCCUGGAGUCCGACUCUCAAGACAGUGAACAUUGGUCUGACAUUGGCUCAAUAUUUUGAGUCCGACUCUCAAGACAGUGAACAUUGGUCUGACGUUGGCUCAAUAUUUUGAUGCACUCUAUAUGUAAAUGAUGGGCAUCAACAUGCAAAAUGGGAUCUAUGAUACAUAGUCAACAAUUGAAAGUAGCUCUUUGUCAAGACAAAUUCGGUUUGAAUAUUUGAAUUACAUCUCAAAGUUAGGAAAGUGGCUGUAUGAAAGUGGCUGUUUGACUGACCAAACUGAAUGCACAGCAGCCCUUCGUUGACGAGGAUGCCGUUCGCUGCCCACCUCCGAAAUCUGCGGGAGCCCCUCUCCUCGUUGAUGACGGCACAGGCAGCAGUCCUCGUGUUUAUGACAGUAACAGCGGCGGCCGUCCCUGCUCGUCUGCGCGGAACCACCCCAGGGCAUCAACGUCUUCUUCGUAGAACGCGAGGACAGCACGGCGUUUCACGUUGGCCGAGAAGACGCAGUAGACGUUAGCGCGGUCGCGGCGUCGCCGUCCUCUGGGCGUUGCUUCCGGCGGGAUAGCGGCGUCGUCCUCCCCUGGGCGUCGCUGCGUCCGGCGAAGGGGCAUACGGCGGCGGAAUUGGAAACUGCGGUUCCAGAUGCAAACGUGAAACGCACGGGAGAAAAAAAAAGAGAUGCGGACGGAGGGUCAGUCGAGCGCGCGGGACGCGCGGGAGGCCGGUGCGUGGAGGGACUCAGGUACAGAAUAGCUUAUUCUGUACCCUGGGGACCGAAUAGCGGAAUAUAUAUAUAGAGAGAGAGGGGGUAAGAUGCAUACCAAUAGUAUUUCUUGCUUUUAACAACAACUUUAUUUCCUCGUUUGGUUCCUGGGAGCAGUACUACUUGUGGGCUUGUGGCUGCUGCAGAGUGCAGAGCACAACGUAUCCAAAGUCCAAACGCCAUGGGCCGUUAGCCCAUUAUUGUGCUGGCCUGGUUGGUUGGGGGCUAAGUUCGUCCAACUCCAACGGAUCAACAGGCAACAGCUCCUGCGCAUUUCGUCGAACAGCUCAUCGGCCAGGGGGGCUCCGUGGCGUGGAUCGCCGCAAGGCCCCUGCUGCUGGUGCGCUAAGGUCAGUUUGCGCUCUCCUCCUCCAUCCGGCUUUCCUUUUGCGCGCUAGUCCGGGGCGUGUCUUUUUGGUCUUCUCGAUACCUAUAGCUUGCUAGUUCCUCGGUGGUAACGACGGAGAAAUGGUGGGCGCGAUAUGUUGCUGUUACGUUCUGACAUCUACCCGUUGGCUGGUCAAGAUGAGCUCGUAGCUUUGCUAAAUUGGUGACUGGAUUUCGGUUGCACCGAUUAUUUUCGAGCGAUGGACAUCUGGAAAUCUAACUGUCCGUACUACCCUGUUUUAGUUCAUCUUGAGCAAGACAGUCCAGAUUCUUUUUCGCGGUGAGGAACGCAUAGAUGAUAUUGUAGUACACCACUAUUUAUAGCAUCUUUGGAGUGUCUGGAACGACAACAGCCUACGCCGACAAACCCAAUUGACACAAAACUUGCAAAAUCUGAACUGGGUAUAACAUUGUAGGUGUUAGGCGUUGUUGAUUGAUUUAACACCAACAAGCACAAUAUUCUCUCUAUCAGCUCUAGUGCUGUACAAUGAUUCUCGAUCUCGAGUUCUGAUUAAUAAUUAUGCUAUUUACACACUAACAAUUACAAAUCCCUGCUUUUGCAGUGUCUGUGCUAUUUAAUUUGGGCCUUGUGAUAAAUCAAGUUGUCUUCACUAGUUACCUCUUCUGGAAGUUGAAUAUCUUGAGCGAGAGCCCGAAAAGCAAGGCAAAGAGCACAGGAAAUGCGACCACCACUACGGCGACUGCCCACAAGAAGUCGUGAUGGUACCCAAAGUAGUCUUCGACAAAGUCAGAUAUACGCACCCCAUUAGUAAAUUCCAUGGUUACAUCUCCAAACUGUGAAGUGACUAGACCGUUGAGAGUCCAUGCGAUGGGGCAAAUCCAGUAGAACCACCUCCACCAUACUGGAAUUCUCUGUAGGGGAAGUUGUCAUUUAGCAGAGGUGGGUUAGUAUAUAAUGAAAAGUAGGAGCGCAGUUUGGUUAGAAGUGAAAGUACUAGACCUCUGAAAGAGUCACUAAUUCUUACCGUUCUUGGUAUUAAAAAUCCUGAGAAAAGGUUCCAAAUGGCAUAAAACGCCGUGGAUGCAACGGAGGAGACGUUGUAGUUUGGAGUCAGGCCCACCAUCAUCAUGCCAUAAAAUGUGUAGUACGCUAGAGUGAAGUACAUGAAGAACAGGUACCAAAAGAACUUGGCAGCUGUCCAUUCAAACCCAAUCAUAGCAUACACUAGCACACCAUAUAUUAAGGACUGAACAAAGAUAUAUGGAAGUUCUAUUGCAACCUGAAAAUUGAGGUACAAGUUAGAAGGAUUGGUUGUUCCUGUGUUUCUUUCUACUUAAUUUUUACUUUGUAGGAAUUUUACUGAUUGUUAUCGAAGAGCAUCUGAUUGUUAUCUCUGCUUGACUCUUCAUUUUUUUGGCAUAGAUUUUGAAGUGGUUGUUGGAUGUAGUGAAUUGCAAUGAACUUUACCUGUCCCAAGGCAUAUGGCAAAGGUGAGUACAUGUGAGCUGCCCUUUCCCUGUAAAAGACUGUCCGCUCAACUGAUACAACUGGCUGAACUGAACCUGAAUUCUGUACUCCCAUGAAAAUGACCGAGGCAUACAUGGAACCCAUGGCAUUGAACAAGUCCUGUUGAUUAUCCCUGCAAGAGUAGAAUAUCUCCAGUGAACUGCAAGUUUGUGAUAAAUGGGGACUAGAGGUAGCCUCUGUAAAACUAGAAAAUUUGACAUUCAAAUAUUUCUGCUUCCUUUUGGUUAUUAGCAUUACCUUUUUCUCCCUACACCCCAGAACAUUGUUCCAAACAACAGGGCAAUCACUGUUGUAUAGAAGUACUUGACAGCAGUAUAUGGAGGAUUUCUCCAAUAUGACAUGCUUUGCUUCCACAGGCAAGCAAAACACUGUGUGAUGAAGGUCUGCGAGUAUUCUGUUGGAAAGGAUAGAUCACUUGAACCUUCAGGAGGUGUGCUUAGCUCCUUUAUUAAAGUUUUGUUCCUCCUGAAAUGCAACAAAAUUACAAUAUCAUUGCAGAACUGAAACAUUGUUUGACAAUGUAUUAUCCUUUUGUGGAAUUGAAAUUAUCAAUUACAAAAGAUAGUGUUACAGAUUAGUACUCUGAAGCUUUUGAAAGGGGAUGUCUAGUUUUAGAAUUAUUUUUGCACAUUCUGUUUCAAACUAGGGAAAACACAAAUAUUCAACAAUAGGGAAUGUGGACCCGGUACCCUAAAACCUUAGUGGUGUCAACAUGGGGUGCAUAUGGCUCUAAGAAGUAAAAUCCAUACUCUUGAAAAAGGCCUUUUACAUUGCAGUUUAAGGAUCUGCACUCUUCUAACAAUCUUUAAAAACAAUGAAGAAUCCAUUUAUAGUUUCUACCUUUUUUUCAAAUUCGAGAUUCAGAGUCUGAACAGAUAGGUCUGUACUUCUAUAGCCGUCAAUAAGAUAUAAACUAUGAACCAUAACGCACAUGCACAUACCUAUAUAAUUCUGAAUUCUUGUACACAUCACUGAAGUUGACACCAGUUAUUUGUUCUUGCAUUGUACUUGUCACUUCCAGCAUCCAUGUUGAAGGGUUGUAGCCAUCUUUUAUAUUGCUGACACCUUCGAUAGCCUUGGUAUAAUCAAUGCAAACCAAUUAGAUAACAUGUUGGUUUAGUGCAAAACCAUAAAUUGGUGGAAAUAUAAAAUAGUUCAUUUGCUCUUUGCUCACCUCAAAAUACUUUAUUAGCUCGCAUGAAUGCUGUCCUAAUGGACCUACAUAGAUCUCUUCACCUCCACGUUUCAUAAGGAAGAGCUGCAAAAGUGCACAGAGCCAUUGCCCAUUAGGUGUUAAAGGUAUAGAAUAAAUGCAAACAGCCAGUGUGUUGUUUUACUCUUCUGCAUUCUAGAAAAGGAAAAUAUGUUUAGUAUAGUUUUCUUCACCUCAUCAAAGGAUUCAAAGAUAUCAAUGCUUGGUUGGUGAAUGGUACAAACGACCGUUCUUCCUGUGUCCACUGUAUUCCUUAUUGCCCUCAUGACAAUGGCUGCUGCUCGUGCAUCAAGUCCAGAUGUCGGUUCAUCCAUGAAAAUGAUAGAAGGGUUAGCAACUAGCUCGACUGCUAUUGUUAGCCUCUUCCUUUGUUCUGUUGAUAAUCCGUUCACACCAGGCAAUCCCACCAAUGCAUCUUUUAAGGGUAAAAGCUCCACAAGCUCCAUAACCUCAUCAAUAAACAUCUGCACAGAGCAAACCAGGUUCAUGUGUCAUAGUACAUAGUGGGACUAGCAAGUAUUACUUGAUAAACUGUAAAAAUGACAUGCAUGUUGCAUCAUAUAUCUAACUCAAACUUUUCUAUGAACUCAAAUUCUAGUAUUGUCAAGAUUCCAUUUAUAUCACUACAUAACAUUUUAGACCAACCAGCAAAAUUACUCUUCACAUUCUAAUCAUGUUUCACAUACUUUUUUUAAUAUGCAUGUGUAUUUUAUAUUAUUGAAAAGAGGUGAUGUCUUGGUUCUUUAUCAAACCUUUCUUGUUGAUGAAUCAACAUCAGCAGGUAAUCUGAGCCAUGCAGAGAAUGCAAGGGACUCGUAGACGGUAACAUUUGGUGAAUGAAUGUCAUUCUGCUCACAAUAUCCUGAUACACGAGCAAAAGUUUCUUGCUUCUUUGGGUAACCUGAUAUGGUAAUAUUUCCCUCAAUGUAUCCGCUGGUCUUCCUCCCGGCCAAUACAUCCAUCAGUGUUGUCUUGCCAGCACCACUGACCCCCAUCAGAGCAGUAAGCACACCUGGCCUAAAUGAACCACUUAUACCCUUCAAUAGUUCCAACCGGGUCUCUGUGACACCUUGUGCUCUGAUUUCCUACAUAUUUAUUGGAUAAUUUAAUUAUUAUAAAUGAAGGUUUUGCUCUAGAUGGUAUGAGAAUACAACGGAAUCUGCAAGAAUAUUUUAUUUCUAUAAUAAUUUCCUUAAAAAGUAAAUACCUCUGGCAUGUCUACACUGUAUCUUAUAUCUUCAAAUGUGAUGGAGAGAGGUACAAAAGGAAGGACCAUUCCUUUGUUGACUGGACUAGAAUUUACUGUUGCAUGGUUGGAAGUUGCUUCAUCGUUGUUCUCAUCCACAGUACCUGAUAAACAUAUCACAUAUGCAUGGUUAUCAUAAAAUUGCACAAAAAUAUAUUCUAUUGUCAUGUUAUUUGGUGAAGAUGAAACUGUAAAUACUUUGAGUUGUUACUGUAUUGCUGGCAACCCUUCCUCUUGAUGAUGCUUCUAAAACUUCACCAGUUAGAUUCGCUUGUUUUAUCUUUAAUGUCUCCUCAGAAAUUGUUGGCUGAUUGCUAUCAAAUGCUGCAGGGAACAUAAUUUGUAAGAUUUGAAUUUAAGCUUUGUUUGCCAUACACAAAUGCCCUUUUAAAUGCAAGAUAAAUUUUUACUCACGCUUGAGGAAUGUGAGGCAGACAGUAUAGAGGGUAUUGAAUAGGAGCACAUAUCCAAUCAAGGCGCCCACACCAAUCCAGUACCAUUUUGCCUCAGGAAAAAGUCCACGAGAUUCCAGAACUAGUUUUCCAAGUGGUUCUGUGGAACCAGGGAGUAUCUGUUACAUAGAAGUAUCAAUAAGCUUUAUCGAUUAGCCAGACAUGUGAAGGUUAUACUUUUCUGAAAAUAUAUUUUUACCUUAUUCCAGCUGUCACCCAGGAAUUCAUUUACUGAUAUGGCAUUUUGUGCAUACAUCAGGGGUGAUAUCCAGUAUCCCCAUAUCCACCAUUUCUUCACAUUCUCUGUUAAAUCAAAGGAAUAGUUUAAUUCGUGAUUUCUUAUAUAAGUACCAUUGCCACAUCAGAUGCAGAACUAACAACUGAAAUUAGGCAAUUUAAGCCAAAUUUGUGUACAUGUUAACACUAUAUUUUGAGUUAGCUACCUUUGCAUACCUCUUGCCAGUAGGAAUCCACCCAAGAGCAUAAAAAUCAGAAUGCCAAAUGAACCAAGGGUGCUUGCAACAACCUGAUGCCUUGCCAUCCCAGCAAUGAAACGGAACAAUCCAGAUGAUGCCUCAUUCAUUAGUAAGAGGAGCAGGAACUGUCUAAAAAGUCUGCAGCAUCAUGUUUUUUAAAAUUUAGUUAGCUACUUAAUACACACAUAACAUGCUGAUCUAGUAUAGAAAUUUUGAUUUCAUUACCUUUCUACAUUGGGAUCGAAUCCAAUGACAUAGUAUGUUAUGAAGACCCAAAUUGUUACAUUGAGCAAGGAGAGGGGGGUCUUAAUGAUCCAUGACGGCAAAGAGUACGUCCAUGCAGGAUAGAAGAGAAGAUCCCUUUGCUUGAAGAAAACUGGGAGCUUUGCAAUAGUCAGGCCAACUUCUGCCAAUCCAUUGAACAUGAUCAUCAGGAUCCCAAAGAACAGAGCACCCAUGUAUAUCCUUCCAUCUGUUAUUGAGUCACGAUGCAUAUUGGUUCGGAGGAAGACGGUCAUUGCAAUGAUCGCCAUGAGUGUUAACUGAAGAAUAGGUAAAGCAACAAAAAAGAGCCAUUAUUUGGUUAAUGUUUUACUGAGUAAAAACAAGGUUAUUGUUCAACUUGUUUUGAAGAUUGUUUAAGGUGCGGCUGAUAUAAUUUGAAUUGAAAAGUGUCAGUGUUUCAGAAUCACCUGAACUGCCUUGAAUAUGUACACAAAGGAGUUUCUUUUCAUUAACAAUAUCUCUCUGUCGAUAUUUGCUUUAAGUAGUUCUUUCAUGCUGGCACCAUAUUUUGAUGUUUUCAGUGCAGCAGGAUGGCUCGUGCUCUUGUCAAAUGGGACUGCCAACUCAUUUCGUAUAGCCUCACCAAUGUGGAAAGAUUGAAAUGCUUCUGCAAACUCCUUCACAGGAACAUAUCGGUAGGUCUCAUCAUCAUGUUUCCAGUAUUGUCUCUGAUCUUUCCUUGAUGUAACCUACCACAUUUCAAUUGUUGCUCAUCAAAUUUGUGCAUUACAGUCCCCAAAAAAAGUUCAGUAUUACAGAAAAUAUGAUCCUAGGUUACAUAUACAGAAAUAUAUACUUCUUAAGGUACUUGAAGAUCGUUUUUAUAUAAAAUUCCCUGGUAGAAAAUGCUUGAUACAGAACUGUAAUGAAAGUACAAAACUUACUUCUUGCAAGAAGUCAGCUACACCUUUCCGCUGCGGGCAUUUGAAGCCAACCGAUUCAAAGAACUCGAGCACAUGUUCACGAGGGCCAUUGUAGACAACCUGACCAUCUGAGAGGAGAAUUAUAUCAUCAAACAGUUCAUAUGUCUCCGGUGCAGGUUGUAGCAAAGCAAUAACUGCUGUUCCGCCAACAAUAUGAAUGGUUUGCCGGAUAGAGUUCACAAUCUGAAAGGUUGUUGAGCUGUCGAGCCCCGUUGAUAUCUCAUCCAUGAAAAGGGCUCGUCCUGGAGUGACAAGCAUCUCAGCUGCAGGACCAAUUUCAGUUGUAGAUGAGUUAUAUCAUAGAGGAGUAAUAUGUAAGCGUCCCAUACUUAUUCCCAAGGUACAUUACCUGUAGUUACCCGCUUUUUUUGGCCUCCGGAUAUGCCUCUAAGCAUAUUGUUUCCAACGAUCGUGUCAGCACAGAUAUCCAAUCCCAAGACCUAUAAAUUGUUGAAAUGUAAAACAAAUAUUAGUAAUGCAUUGCUUUUGAAUAUUCUGAAAUCUUUGAGAACUUGUGAGAUAAAUUUGUCGGCACUCUAGUUGGUUGCACCUUCAGUAUGUGAUUGGUGACCACGUCAGCCUUUUGCUCUCCUGUGGCAGCAGCCUACAUAAGUAAAAUGAUGAUGCCUCAAACUUGUGAUUUUAAUGUUCGCAGGUGAUAAAGAACAGCCAGAGCCAGCUAAAAGCUGAUAUAAGAUUUGCAUCAAACCUUCAUGUAGAUAUCCGUUUCUGGAUCUGGGACGAUACUUGCUUCCUUUUCUCUCCUUGACAAUUCCACUAGCAAAUCUGAACAUUUUUGUAAUCUAAUGUUAGUAAUUCAAUAUGAUAUGCUGCGGAGAGGAGUUUUGUAUUGUCCGUCUGUUUUGAGAUGUUAAGUCUUACCAUAGCGAUGACCAAUUCCUUGGCAUUUUGCAGAGAAAUUGACUGUCUCACGGACCGUCAAUUCCCCCAUGUGCAGAUCAUGUUGGCUGACAUAUGCAGCUGAUCUCCGGGCCUCAAACUCGUCCAUUGUAUGCCCAUUGUAAGUUAUAUUCCCUGUUACCUUUUGUGAUUGCAGUGUAUCAUUAUAUCAGUACUCCCAAGGUAUAUUCAUGAUGUACAGAGUACAAUGCAAACUCGAAGCAAGUACCUUAAGACUUGAAGGAAGUGUUCCAGCCAAGGCUAAAAGCAGCGAUGUUUUCCCCGCACCAGGAGGACCCAAUAGCAAGGUCAUUCUGAAAUUAGCAGGGAUAAGACAAAAAUUUCCAUGCAGAUGAUUUGGCGAUCGUUAAUAUGACGGAAGUUACCUGUGUGGCUUGAUGAUGCCACUGACAUUGUGAAGAAUGGAUAUUUUCUGCUUCCUACUUGGUGUUAAGUGAAGAGCAUUGGCGAUGCCCUGUUUGGCGAUGGUUACCAACAUGUCAGGCCACAUAAAAGAGGGUAGCACAAGGGCAUAUCAUGUCAUCACAAUGGCGUAAAUGAGAUGCAAUGGAACCAGGUCGAAUUUCGUUAUGUUAAAUCUGCUCUGACUAAACAGUAUGUUCCGUGUUUCAAACUACAUGCUAUGAUUUCAGCACAUUGUUUCACGGAUAUUCCUUGAGUAAAAGAAAAAAAAAAAGGAAAAUUUGACAAGCCAAAUUGGUAUGUUGACCUGAAACCGGUCAGCCUACAUUCAGUUUUGUGGUUGCUUGGCCAAAUUCUUCAGUAUUGUGAUUACUCGCAAAGAUUGACACUGACUGGAUAUAGCGCGUGCAGUAGGACAGCAUGUGGUAGGACUCGCUCCAAUGAGGUUCCUCUGUUUGAUGUGACAUGCUUCCUACCAUCUAUCUUCUAAGCGCAUAUAUAGAUGUGCCCAAAUACACAAACAUGGUGUAUUAUAAAUGUUGCUUUGCCUGUUCACAAUGAUCGGUUUGUCUGAAUUAUACUACUUCAUUAUCUGAAUCCAAUUGACAAAUUUGACUAGUAUUUUGGCGCAUAAGCUAUAUUCUCUCUUUUUUUCCUGCAAAAUUUUACUCAAGUUCAAAGAGGUAGAGGAGGCAAAUUAGUCCUCGAAGUGGAACAUACCUCGAGCACAUUGGCAUAGGUGUUGAAGAUGGUGGGCAGGCCCCUGCUGCCGACAUACGCAUCUGCCUCAACGUUCAGGUUCCGGUAGCGCACUUCGAUCUUGGGCAGUUCAAUCCCAACUCUGCAGCACAGAGCAAAAAAAAACAGAGAGUUCAAAGAUUCGAAGAAGGAAAGAAUUUAUCUACACUAUCUGGCCCUAUUUUAAUUUGACUAAUCGAUCAGAUUCCAUGGCGGCGCAUGGCUGGCACUGUGGGAGACGAAGAAGAUGGCGGCGGCAAGGCAAUGGUUGGCGUCUCACCGGUCGACGCGGUCCUUGAACUUGGAGAGGAAGCGCUGGUGGUCGUCGCCGACCCAGGCGAGCCGCUGCAGCAGGGCGUGGCGCUCCUGCGGGCCCAGCUUCUGCACGUUCACCUCCCGGAGCUCGCCCUCGGGCAUGGCGAGCACGGCCGUCCGGGCCCGGUCGUAGGUGGGCAGCUUCUCCAGCGCCGCCCACCGGAGCGCCUCCUCGUCGUCCGCCGCGCCGCCAUCCCCGCGCGACGACAGCGAGAACACGUUGUCGCUCGCCGCCGACCACACCGACCCCUCCUGCCGCAGGCUUCCCAGCGCGUGUAUCUCCCCGGCGUCGUCCAUGGCGCCGCCGCCGCCGCCGCCGACAACGCCGGCGGCAAGAACUACAAUUCACUGGAUUCCUCUUGCGGUCUAGCUUGCCUCCUCCCACUACAAAGCUGGCAGGAGGAGGAUCGGUGGCAGGUCGUUAUGCCUCGUCGUGGACUGGUGCGCUCGUGUCGCGUCGGAUUGGGGCCGGGGGAGGAAGGAAAGAGACGGCCACGUUAUAUAGAGGUGGGAGGAAGGGGAUGAUGACGUAGAGCCUGACGACGGCGCGUUGCCCCCUCCUCCGUUCGCGGAAGAAACUUUUGCGGGCUACGAACUCGUGGACAACUUUUGCAUGGGGUUUGUUUGUAAUAAUAUUAAUUGCGUCGCGGAGAUAACGCUCGUGCUGAUAUGUACUACCAGCACAGCUGCACGAGGCCUUCUAGAAACACAAGUCAAACUAGAUCAAUUUGAUUUGAGGAUACAGGGGUACGAUCGAGUAUACGACUCCACGUACAGGAGGAGUUGUUCAAAUAAACUAUGACUAACGUGACGAGAAUUCAAAUAUAAAAUGACUAACAUGGCCAACCAUAUAUUGUAUAGUGUGAUUAGUAAUUUUAUAAGGAUUAUUCCGGUAUGGAAUUUGAAUUUCGCCUGGCGAAGUACCUACAGAAUUGGUAGUUGAGAACUAUAUAUAAGAAGGUACCCCUGGACCUUCUACUGUGGCUUGAUCGUAAACGUGGACUUGAUAUUGUGAGUUGAUCGAAUGGUUCAUAUUAUAAAGCACUCAAUAAAACAAAUAAUUUUUCGCUACCUUUUAAUAUGGCAAACAAUCUUUAUUUGCUAAAGAAUGCUCUGGUUUGUUCUUUUCUAUAUAUAAAUCCAUGAACGAUGAUAUAUCUAUCUAUCAUUCCACCUCAAAUUCGGAACUUUAAGAGAGAGAGAAAAAAUGAUCUUUCUAUUUUAUAUUCUGAUAUCGAUGUUCCAGUUAUAUUUCACAUUACAUUUUCCUCAAGAAAUAUUUACAUUACAUAAUUACUAGAAUUAGCUGCCUGGCAAAUCAAUUUCUAUUAUGCGGAUGAUAUAACUGGCCGCAACACACUUGUUGCGUGAAUUCCUUACUCUGCUAUUUACUCAUGACCUUUUCACUUCUGACUUUUAUGCCAACUGAAAGAGAUGGCUUCUUUUCGGGUUUGCGGUGAACACUAUGAAGUAGUUUGGGACGUCCCCGAUUCUAGAUUGGGGAUUUACAUCAACAUAUCGAGAGGAGCAUAUGAUAGGGCUAUGAUUUUGUUUUUAUUUUUAUUUUAGUAUAUAUCAGCAGCACGUGUUUGGGCAUCCACGUGUUUUCUCAUAAAUAUAUUUGGAUUUUUGAUAACCUACGUGAAAUAUGCCAUUAACUGGAUCUGAAUUAUUCUUAGUUUCUUACGCAACACAUUGAGUAUAUUAACAUUAGUGAACUCAUUUUUCUGAUGGGUAGUGAGAGCUUGGUUUGUUGCAGCACCGAUAGCAUGGAUUCCAUCCUUGGAAUCCAGGAAAAAACAUAGAAAAUCUCCGCACUGCUCUUUGGGUGAUCUCCUAGAAAUUUUCCUAUUGUGUGGUGACUGGAUCUUAAGAUAAUUUGUCAAAACAAUUUAAUUCCCAUUAGCAUUAGGCAUAUCUGAUAAGCUACCCAAAAUAUGAUAUUGACUUUUUAAUUCUGGACCCAAGACACGUGUUAUUGAAAUUUGACAUGCAAUUGACCAAUGUGGGAUUUUUGUCCAGAAACAUAUAUUAGUUUCAUAGAUUUUAUAUGUACAUAUGUUGAAAUCAGCUAGAAGUAACUGAGAUUUAAAAAUGUUAUUUUACAGGUAAACAAAAUACAUACAAGUGUUGUAUUUCAGGUAAACAAAAUUAAGCACACAUUCACUAGGAGAAUGAUAGUUCCCCGGGAACAUAUGUGAAUUUUAGAUAGAUUAUAUAAAAGCUAGCUGCCCAACAAUCAUUUUUUUAGUAAAGUUCCAUGAAUUGUCUGUCAUUAAGUAAAUUGUACCUAUUUAGGUUAAAUGGAUUUGUUAAUUAUUCCUGACACUUUUAAUUUUUCUUUUUGACUUCUUGUCUACCGAAAGAGAUGGCUUCUUCCUUUCCAGUUUUUAUAGCUAUCCCCACGAGUACUUGCAUUAAUAGACUGCACAAUCUUCUUCAUAAGGUUUGGUUACAGAUAUCUAGAAAUGUUUUUAAUGAAUCAAUUAACCGGACUUAUGGAGCAUCGACUUGCAUUUUAAUGUGGUUUCCCCUUUUAGGUGCUCUUGUUAGAUCUGGAUACACAGUCCUUUGAAACAUGAUUUCUACACAAAGGAAUUUGAAAUUUCUUUUUCAAUUCAACAUCAUAUGUAAAACCAUGUUAAUACUUAAAGUACUUCUAUAAUACCAUAUCUAUUCUUUUCUACCGCAAGAAACGGUUACUAUUUUCUUUUCUUUCAACCCUUUCACUACGGCCAAAUCCCUCUAAAAGCCAUCCGGGAUAAAUUUUCUGAGACAAAGGGGGAUCUUUAGUCCCGGUUGGUAUUUUAAAAAUAAAUAAAUAAAAGCACCGAGCGGCCUCCGCCCACCCUACGCUGCUUGCCGCCCGUCUCCGGCCCCGCUCCGCGUCCGCCCGCCGCCGCCACAAGCCCGCGCCCACUCCGCCCACCCGCGCCUCGGCCGCCCGCCUACCUCGCUCUUGGCUGCCCGCGCUCCUGCUCCGCCCGGCCGCCCGCGCGCCCGCUUUGCCGCUCCCGCUCGGCCCGCCGCCGCUACUCCUCCGCGUCGCUGGCCCGCCCGCCCAACGCCGCCGCCCACCCUCGCCCCGAUGUCGCUCCUCACUGCCAGUACGGGGUGAGCAGAGGGGGAAGGGGAGGGGAGCAGAGGGGGAGGGGGAGGGAGAGGAAGGGAGGGAGGGGAGGGCAAGGAGAAGAAGGAGGAGAGGGAGGAGAAGGAGGAGAGGGAGGAGAGGAGGGGGUGACCGUGCGCGAGGGGAAGCGCUAGUGGAAGAUAAGGAGGAGAGAGAAGGAAAAUUAAAGGAGAGAGAAGAAGUUAAUGUGGAGAGAGGGGGGCACGCGUGGGAGGACGUUUUGUCCCGUUGGAGCUACCAACCGGGACUAGAGGUGAUUUGUCCCGGUUGGUAAUUCCAACCGGGACAAAAGGGAGGUCUUUAGUCCUAGUUGGAAUUUCCAAUCGAGACAAAAGGGGGGGACGUCGCUAUAAGAUCUUUUCAACCGGGACUAAAGUCCCUCCCGUCGGUGUCCUUUCGCUGCCUCAUUUUUUACCCGAGUCUAAAGCCACUUUAGUCAUGGGCCAAUAUUAACCGAGACAAAAGGGGAUGGAUGGAAGGUUAGUUCUCCAGUAGUGUUUACACUGCUGAUGCUAUUGAAAGUGUACCAUGCAGAGCACUCAUUUUGGUAAUUGGGUACAAUGUUUGCACAAAAUGAAUUAAGUAUAUGGGGAUUUGUUCUGGCCUAAUUUUUGCAAAUUUAUACAGUUGAAUAUAAUUUGAUCACAUGCACGCUGUUUGAGAAAAGCCAAAAAAACCUGCAGACUGAGGUGUACAUUAUUGUGCGGUCAUUGUUAAUAGUUCCCACUUUUGGCGUUACAUUGAAGUGAACAUAUAUGCACAACAAUGUACAGCUAGAUGUGCUAGUUUCAUGGUAACUUCACAAAGAAUUACUGUUGUCUUUUCCUCUAAAUAAUAAGAUAACAACACUCGAGCAUAUGAACAUAGAAAGGUGUAUAGAUCAGUUCAAAAACUACAUUGUUACAAUCAUAAAAUUAGAAAGCAGUCAUUAUAUAUUUGUUUUAUGGUCUAAGUAUUUACUUUAUCAAAUUUUAUUAUUGGCCAACAAACUUGAUAUUUUAUUAUUAGGUUCAAAACUAAACAUGCUUAGUGAGAAAUAUGUGGCAAGUGAGCUUUUCUUCGCUAGUUGUUUCCCUUACUACCUGCCAUACUUUCUUCAAGUGUUCUGUUAUUAAUUAGCAUCUAUUACAUCCUAUGAGAUGAGGUAUCAGUAUCUUAACUAUCUAUUACAGUUACAACAUCUGAAGUAAGAGAAGUAGCAAUCCUAUGGCCAACUAGCAUGAAACAUCCAUACAAACUUCGGGUACCUAAAGAAUACAUAUGAAACUUUGACUGACUGCUGCUAGAAUUAUUAUUUUUCUGCACAGAGGUCUGCUAUGAUACGAAGAAAUCCUUAGCAAAACAUUAAGAGGGUUCGUUUGGUUUUGGAACCAUGUGGGUUGGGUUGGAGCCGACCCACUUUUCUGGGUUCGAGCCAACCCAUCUCUUGUUUGAUUGGAGGGAUGGGUUGGACCCAAUUUUUUGUUUGGUUGAGCUGGUUGAGUGGGUUGGGAUAGAUAUCUGUUUAACACCGUUAGUUGUGGACCCCACCUGUCAGCCGUGGGGCCCACCUGUCAGCCUCUCUCUCUCUUUUUUCCCCAACCUUCCAUCUUCUUCCCCGCAAGUCCUUCCCCACUGAGGGGAGCUCGCGACAGCGGUCCUCCUCCCUGCCGCCGGUGGUCCGCCCCCCUGCGCCGCCUUAUCCCCGCCACCGGAGGUCCUCCUCCCCCACCGAGCUCGCCCGGCCGCGGCGGGGCUCGAGCUCGCCCGGCGCACCUCCCUGUCGCGUCGGCAUCGGGCGGGCGGAGGGCAGCGCGAGUGGAGGGCGGCAGCGGAGGGCGGCGCCGGCGUCGGGCAGACGGCGAGCGGCGCGAGUGGAGGGCGGCGCCGGCGUCGGGUGGGCGGCGCGAGUGGAGGGCGGCAGCGGAGGGCGGCACCGGCGACGGGCGGGUGGAGGGCGCCGUCGGGUGCGCGGUCGGACGAGCGCGAGAAGAAACGGACGCGGACGCUGUUCAAGUGGGUCGGGGUGAUUCCUUGUUUUUUUAGGAAUCGGAUGAACCCGGAUCUACGAGGAAUAUUUCUCUACUGGAUUGAACCUAACCCCCACCCUCUCUAACCAAACAUGGGUCGAAGUGGGUCGGCUCCAACCCAACCCACUUCGACCCCAGAACCAAACACUACCUAAGCGUUUGUUGUGUUUAUGUAUAGGUUUGUUGUGUUUAUGUAUAGAGUCUAGCUGGGGGUUUCACUUGCAACAGAGACAUCCUUUUGGGUCUCGGUGAAGGGAAAAGGUAGCAAGAGGUUCUAAAUUAUUGUGGUCACUGAUUUGAUACCGACUCCACUCCCCACUGUCCACUUCCCAGGUUAGAGGGAAUCGCUGUCCAAUUGGAGGAAGCAUCGGUAGCCUCCAGGCUCCAGCCCCCAGCCUCGCCCCCCCCCCCCCCCCCCCCCCCCCCCCCCCCAGUGAAUUAUAAACGGAUCAGAUGGUGACGGAGGUGAGGCGGCUAUAGUUGGGUAGAGGACAAACAAUAAUGCAACUGUGCAACACGAGUGCAGCCAAAACAUCCGGUUCACGAUAUUUUCGAUCAUUGACGUACGCAAAAGAUUGAAUUUCGUGUCAAGCAAAAAACAUCCGCGAAUUUCUUUCUCUUUCUACGGAGCAACCAUCUUUCUAAUUUCUAACAUUUUCAGUUCUGGCACGCAAAGAAAAUUCCAUAUCUUGUAGGUGGAAAAAGCUACUGGUGUGGAACGAAUGCUCCUACUAGGUACAUACUCUCGAGCAAUACAAAGGAUUCCCUAUUCUGAUCGAUGCUGUCUUUAUCUUCCUCUCGUUCAACAACCACUUAUCAUUGUCCGGCUGCUAAGAACUUAUUAUAUACCAAAAAAUCGUUUUCCUAGUGGCUGGCGAUCAAUUUCUUGAUUCAUAAUUAAUUUAAACUAUAUCCGGUAGCUAACUGGUGUGCUACUUUUGUGUUAUGUCAAUAAUGCACUGUCCAUGCCGAUGAUGGGCGUCCAGAUCUGCCUGUCGGCUAAAUGCCACAUUACUGAAACUAAAUAAACCCAGAUUAUCUCUGGUGCGAUAGAUGGUGGCCGGGGUUGUGAGUUGUAGGCGAAUCACAUCACAUCACAUCACAUGCCUACUAGUAGAAUUUAAAUUUUUGUUUUUGAGGCCUGUUUAGUUGUCAAAGUUUGGAGGUGCCAAAUUACUGUUACAGGACUGUAGCACACUGUAGCGUUUCGUUUGUAUUUGUGAAUUAUUAUCCAAACAUUGACUAAUUAGGCUCAAAAGAUUCAUCUCAUAAAGUACAACAAAACUGUGCAAUUAGUUUUUAAUUUCGUCUACAUUUAGUACUCCAUACAUGUACCGCAAGUUUGAUGUGAUGGGGAAUCUUCUUUUUGCAUAGUGCCAAAGUUAGGAGUUGGGGGUGAACUAAAUAAGGACUGAGUAGCUAUGCUGGUGGUACAGAUGCUUGGAGAUUACCUCAAUAUCUUUUUUACAAAAUGGCAAGUUCAAAACGUUCACGUGUAACAAAAGAUGACGAGGAAACACGGGGUGGCGGCCGUGCAGAUCAUCAUACCGCUGGUGUCUCAGGAGUCAGGACUUUUGUUGCGUGACUUCUCGUGAUGCUGGCUGCUUUUAGGUGUCGUGUUUGCAUUCGUGGGUUGACCUCACCUGCUGGUGUCGAUCAACGAGCCUUGGAGACAUAUAUGUCGUUUCUAGCAAAUGCAAAACCUCCUUUCACCACCACUGAAAUUAAUUGGUUGUCGGUUGAUGUGUGCUAUGUCAGGUCAAACGCAACAGAUUGGAUGGAUUCAUGGCUGCUAUGUUGAUGCCAGAUUAGUAAUGGAAGUUUCAUAGGUAUUAAUUUCUAUACCACAUCAGCAAAAUUACUGACUUAACACGAUCAUUAAAAGAGGGAGUUUCAUCAGAUGAGAGAGGAGUUUCAUCUCUAGGACGCUCAUUUGGCUCAAUUACCUAGUUUACAGUCUUGAUAACCGUGUAAUUAAACUGUGCACUGAAACUGACCUUAGCACGCAGGACUCACCGACUCAGAUUGUGCAUGUGAAGCAAAAGGGAAAGGACAACUGGUAUCUGCUUCCGAUACUUCUUUCUUGCUGGGGGGUCGAUCUCCAAGGCUCCAACGCUAUAGGCUGACGUCGUUACCCUCGUAAGCUCGUAUGUACGCGUGCGAGAAUUUCCCCAAUAACAAGUUCGAACCAGAGCUCUGGAUCGCAGUGGAAGCGAAACAUCUUAACAGUCUAUUUCUGAGAGUGGCAUCGCAAUGGAAGAUCAAUGUUGUGUCUGUCUAUUGGGGAUCGCCUAAAAACUAAACAACCUUGAGCACCGUUCGUAGGUAAAAACUCCUUAACCUCCCAAGUUCUGAACCAACAAAAAAAACCUGGUUAACCUCGCAUCUUCUUUGCUACUUUGGGAUUUUGAAGCCAACAACUAUUAGCUGAUGACUAAGCUCCAAUUGAACUAACCCUCCUCUUCUACUCUUUACUCAGGAUCGGAAUCUGAAGGGAGACAUCGCGAGGUUACAAGCUCUUAAAGUAACAUAACGGACCAAGUGCCACGAGGUUGGACGUCCUUCUUGGGCCGAGAGUGAAGGCACGAGGUUGAAGGUUUUACCCGGCGCGAGGGUGAUGAUACGAGGCUAGAAGCUUGAUCUGGCGCGGAGGAGAAGACCUAAGGUUGAGAGGAUGAAGACGUGAGAAGCAUGACUACAUGAAGGUGUGAGAAGCGUGACUACACAAAGGCGUGAGAAGCGGGACUAUGUAGAGGAAUUUAAUUUGUACACGUUACCCCAAUGACCUUUAUGUACAGCAUAUCCUAGGAAUAUCGUAGCUCAGAAAGGACAUUUUCAGAAUGUAAAGUGGUUCACAGGUCACUAUAAAAGGGGAGCCCUACCCCGUUGUAAGGGGGAGAACUCAUUGUUUUUCUAAGCUUUCAAGUGUUAUCGGUCUCCAUUCACACAUCUAUUAGUGCCGAACCGCUUUGGGACCAACGUCGCCCACCGUGUUCUUAACCAUAAAAUAACCCAUGAUGCCACAACCAAAGAAGAAGAAGACCACACCGUAGGAAACCAGCGAGGGUGAAAGAGAGCAAGAGAGAGGGCUUGUUCCCAUUGAUCAAGACAACACAGACACCCUAGAGAAACUAAAAAGAAUCGAGGCCAGUUUAAGAACAAGAAGUGAGAAGAAAAGAGCCGAGGCGGAGAUCUCGAACAAAGCACAACUAGAAACAAGCAUAAGAAACAAUCUACUUGGGGAGGCAGAAAAAGAAUUGGCCUCGGUGUUAAAGCAGCUCGAAAGCCCGAAAAAAGAGAAGGAAAGAUUUGUUCAAGAAUUGGAAGCAUAACAGCUAGUGGCCAGCAAAAUAGCAAAAUUAAAUUAAGCAAAAAAACAAUUAGCGGAAUUGCAAGAAGAGUUGGAUGAGCUGCAAUACUUACAAAACACGCCACCACAACCACCACUUUCGACAUAGCAGCAUGUCAUGAAUGACACACCUAUCCCACAUGCAAAUCCCAACCUCGUUGGACACAACACCCUAGCAAUGACAAAUGUUUACGUAACAGUUGAUAAAAACUCUCCAUUGUCUUUGGGCUUGCAAACGGCUCUAUGGCCUACAACCUACAAGGCGGUCACAUUGCCAAAAUUCAAUGGGCAAAAUGACCCUCGCCAGUUCCUCAUGAGCUACGAAGCUGCAGUAGCAUCUGCUGGAGGAGAUGAUGUGGUUUUAGCCAAGUCCCUAAUCAUAGCCUGCAAAGGAGCAGCGAUGAACUGGUACUCGCUAGUUCCACCAUAGUCAAUUUACAAUUGGAUAGACUUCAAAACUAAGCUAAUACAAAAUUUCCAAGGCUUCCAUCAAACAACAUCAGCCCCGAGCAACUUGUUUCAUUGCAUCCAAAAAGAUAAAGAGCCCCUAGCCAAUUAUGUCAUAAGAUUUGUGUAACUAAAAUCGCAAACUCCAGAUGUGGAUGAAAGUGUAGCCAUAGUAGCCUGCAUCAGAGGACUAGCACCAGGCCUAAUAUCUUCACUUCUAACAAGAGAAAAGCCAAAAACCAUGGAAGCUUUGUUCGCCGAAUUGGAAAGGUAUUGCAGAUCAGAUGAGGAUCAUAGAAAAAGAGUGAUGGAAAGAAACCGCGAAAGGCAAGUUCAAAACGACCAAAAUUGGCAAGCCUCGAGAUACAAUUUCGCACAACACCAGCAGCCAUACCCAGCUCAACACGUGCUACCAAUCGAGGGUGCUCAAGCCUCACAACAACAAAACCAAAAUCAUGGUAGACAACCUCAGCAACAAUAGCAAGCAAAUUAUGGCAAUAGGCAGAGAGGCGGUUAUAGCGGAAGAGGGAGAGGCCGAGGCAGAGGACCUCCGAGGCCCUACAACCAAAACAAUCAACCUCGAAUGUUUUAUUGCACCUUUCACGACAAGCAAUUAGAUCAUGCAACUGACUUUUGCUCAGAAAAAAAGACCUUCGAAAGAAUAGCUGAAGAAAAAAGUGCUUCCGUAAUAUCUAAAACCAUCCACUACACCUCUUUUUGGCCACAACAGCCAUACUUCCAAGCUUAUCCACAUAUAAACCCAAAUACCAACCUUGCAAACUUUCAACCUGCCAUGAUGUGGCAACAUUCACCAUAGUUUCAACCCCAAAGUCAGCAAGCCUCGCAAGUUGCAAGCUUCGCACCUUCCCAACCUCUACACGAAAUACCACUACCUCCACCAAACCUACCCAACCAAAUACCUAAAGCCGAGCCUAACAAUACUCAAAAUAACAACCCCAAAG
rnacentral:lncRNA from 1 species